rnacentral:misc_RNA from 1 species
GCACCAUGACAUUCAAGUGGGCCUGGGCAAGAACUGAACAUUUUCGUGUACAUACUGGUGAACGGCCAUACAAGUGCAAGGUUGAGGGUUGUGGACUGACUUUUAGGUUUGUAUCAGAUUAUAGUCGGCAUAGACGAAAAACUGGGCAUUAUGUAGAUGCGGCCAAUUGAUAUUAGUUACUUUCAUCAGAUCGAUGGGUUGUGUAAUGUACCAAAUACUAGACUGGGGUUGAAAAGGCAAUCAUGUAAACUUAUCAGUUU